rnacentral:rRNA from 1 species
ACGGGAGGCAGCAGUGGGGAAUAUUGCACAAUGGGGGAAACCCUGAUGCAGCGACGCCGCGUGAGUGAAGAAGUUAUUCGUAAUGUAAAGCUCUAUCAGCAGGGAAGAAAAUGACGGUACCUGACUAAGAAGCCCCGGCUAACUACGUGCCAGCAGCCGCGGUAAUACGUAGGGGGCAAGCGUUAUCCGGAUUUACUGGGUGUAAGGGGAGCGUAGACGGUGAAGCAAGUCUGAUGUGAAAGGCCGGGGCUCAACCCCGGGACUGCAUUGGAAACUGUUUUACUAGAGUGCCGGAGAGGUAAGCGGAAUUCCUAGUGUAGCGGUGAAAUGCGUAGAUAUUAGGAGGAACACCAGUGGCGAAGGCGGCUUACUGGACGGUAACUGACGUUGAGGCCCGAAAGCGUGGGGAGCAAACAGGAUUAGAUACCCUGGUA